rnacentral:rRNA from 1 species
GACGAACGCUGGCGGCGUGCCUAAUACAUGCAAGUCGAGCGAUGACGCUUGGUGCUUGCACCCAUUUGAAGAGCAGCGAACGGGUGAGUAACGCGUGGGUAAUCUGCCUUUGAGCGGGGGACAACAUCUGGAAACGAAUGCUAAUACCGCAUAACAACUUUAACCAUAAGUUUCAAGUUUGAAAGAUGCCUUUGCCUCACUCAAAAAUGGUCCCGCGUUUUAUUAGCUGGUUGGGGAGGGAAAGGCCCACCAAGGCGAUGAUACAUAGCCGGCCUGGGAGGGUGGACGGCCAAAUUGGGAAUGGGACACGGCCCAAGCGCCUACGGGGGGGAGCAGGAGGGAAACUUCGGCAAAGGACGAAAAGCUGAACGAGGAACGCCGGGGGGGGGGAGGAGGGUCUCGGAUCGUAAAACUCUGUUGGUAGAGAAGGAAGAUGGGGAGAGUGAAAAGCUCAUGAAGUGACGGUAACUAAACAGAAAGGGACGGCUAACUACGUG